rnacentral:rRNA from 1 species
GACGAACGCUGGCGGCGUGCUUAACACAUGCAAGUCGAACGGAAGGGCCCUGCUUUUGUGGGGUGCUCGAGUGGCGAACGGGUGAGUAACACGUGAGUAACCUGCCCUUGACUUUGGGAUAACUUCAGGAAACUGGGGCUAAUACCGGAUAGGAGCUCCUGCUGCAUGGUGGGGGUUGGAAAGUUUCGGCGGUUGGGGAUGGACUCGCGGCUUAUCAGCUUGUUGGUGGGGUAGUGGCUUACCAAGGCUUUGACGGGUAGCCGGCCUGAGAGGGGGACCGGCCACAUUGGGACUGAGAUACGGACCAGAAUGCUACGGGAGGCAGCAGUGGGGAAUAUUGCAUAAUGGGCGGAAGCCUGAGGCAGCAACGCCGCGUGCGGGAUGACGGCCUUCGGGUUGUAAACCGCUUUCGCCUGUGACGAAGCGUGAGUGACGGUAAUGGGUAAAGAAGCACCGGCUAACUACGUG